rnacentral:rRNA from 1 species
UACUCCUACGGGAGGCAGCAGUAGGGAAUCUUCCGCAAUGGACGAAAGUCUGACGGAGCAACGCCGCGUGAGUGAUGAAGGUUUUCGGAUCGUAAAGCUCUGUUGUUAGGGAAGAACAAGUGCGAGAGUAACUGCUCGCACCUUGACGGUACCUAACCAGAAAGCCACGGCUAACUACGUGCCAGCAGCCGCGGUAAUUA